CUUCACUGAAAAACAAAAAUGCUUUCUGAGUACUAACCAAUAAAACUAAUCUUAUCUCUUCUUCCCAGAUGGUGCAAUAAAGACCUAAAAAUAUCAAAGAAGUUUUCUAAAACAUUACAAGUAAGUGGAAGAAAGAGGAAUAGGGGACCUUAACUCCUCAUUCUAGGAUUAGUAGACUGCAAUUUGUGACUGCAGGUGUGAGAAUGGCCUUUUGAAAUGGACCCGAUGAAGUUUGUCCUUGCCAGGUCUCCUGUACCCUUUGCCCAGUGCUCCCAUGCCUGUCAAAUAUGUCAAAAACAGAGGGGAUUUUCAUCAGUUGUGUUGGCUCCUUCCUUCACUUCCUGGAACUCAUGUGAGAAUGCACGUCCCCCCCCCCACUGGAAGCAAUUUACUAUGGUAAUAUUGGAGAGUACUGUAAAUAAUCCUGAUUGCAGUGCCCAGAAAGCUUUAUAAUCAGAGAGACCACGUGAAUACAAACUGUGACCGUUUCAAAGGCAAUUUCCUGACCACCACCUCAAAGCACAUGUCAGACACAAAAGUUGUGCCAAUCUACGAGCUCCAAUUGAAAUGAUAGAGUUCACUGCAAGUUCAGCCUGAAUUGGGCUUAAAUGAAAUGAAAUUGAUAGCAGAUGAAAGCUCAACAGGUUGCAGAAUAAUUAUAUACUUGUUACGAUGUUCUCACUAAUUGGAGCACUAGCUCAGUGAACCUCAUCUUCUGGAACUGCUACUGGGGUAACUGGCAGACACAUCUGUUUGGUACGAAUCUGCAUAUUUGCUCAUUUGCCAAAAAUGUAAAGUGGAGCCCUGAAUUAGUUUCAGUUCGCUUCAUCACUUCCAAGCUGAAGAAUCAGCGGAAUAUAUCACAGUGCUUCCCCCCUCCCCUCGACAUGCCAGAUUACAUCCACAAGUGAACGUUCACAAAAGGCAACCUUAAGAAGCAGGCUGUCUGCAAUGGUGAUGGACAGAGACGCCUACACCCUCUGCAUGAACAUGUACUGCUCUCAUUUAUCUAACUAGGGGCCCCGUGCUCAUACCAAAGGGACGGCUGAUAAAAAGACACUCUCGAGAAGCUCUUAUUUUCAAGAUGAAGGUGAAACUUGUAUUUUCUUAAAGGAAGGCCCCUUUGGCUCAUAUUUCAUUCCCUUUGGCAAUGUGUGCAUUCAUAGAUAAGUAUUUUCCUCGUGUCUUCAAACGUUGUGCUUCUAACCGAAUUAAAGUUCAACCUUCAUUAAUCCCGGUGGGGUUCUCUCUAAAAUAACUUGUCG
rnacentral:lncRNA from 1 species